rnacentral:rRNA from 1 species
UAAGCGUGCGCAGGCGGUUAUGUAAGACAGAUGUGAAAUCCCCGGGCUCAACCUGGGAACUGCAUUAGUGACUGCAUAGCUGGAGUACGGCAGAGGGGGAUGGAAUUCCGCGUGUAGCAGUGAAAUGCGUAGAUAUGCGGAGGAACACCGAUGGCGAAGGCAAUCCCCUGGGCCUGUACUGACGCUCAUGCACGAAAGCGUGGGGAGCAAACAGGAUUAGAUACCCUGGU